UCUUCAGUAGUAUAGUGGUUAGUAUUCCCGCCUGUCAGUUACCUCUGCGCGCGGGCGACCGGGGUUCAAUUCCCCGCUGGAGAG